AGAUUGAACGCUGGCGGCAUGCCUAACACAUGCAAGUCGAACGGGAGUAGCAAUACUCUAGUGGCGGACGGGUGAGGAAUACGUAGGAAUUUGCCCUUAAGUGGGGGAUAACCCGGGGAAACCCGGAUUAAUACCGCAUGACCUCGAAAGAGCAAAGUGGGGGAUCGCAAGACCUCACGCUUUUGGAGAAGCCUACGUCGGAUUAGCUAGUUGGUGAGGUAAUGGCUCACCAAGGCGACGAUCCGUAACUGGUCUGAGAGGAUGAUCAGUCACACCGGAACUGAGACACGGUCCGGACUCCUACGGGAGGCAGCAGUGGGGAAUAUUGGACAAU
rnacentral:rRNA from 1 species